GAAGGGUCAAGUAUUUGUGUUGACUUACUGUGAAUUCAUUAAUUGUUGAGUGUAUAUAUAAAAAAAAUCGUUUUAGUUGAUACGUUAUUCUAAGUGAUGCCAAAGUCUGCAUUCUAUCCUUAUCAGAAUGUGUACUUUGCGAAUAUUCAAAUAUGUUGUUCAUAUAUAUCCAUGAAAUGAACAAAAGUGGUAUCCAACAAAUAUAAAAUGAAUCCACAAUAUUAUAUUUUAAACAGAAGGUGUAACUCUUCUUUACAUAUGUGAUUGCUGUGGAAUGAAUAUUGAUUAUAAAUCAUAAAAACAAG
rnacentral:lncRNA from 1 species